CACGUAGGGUGCGAGCGUUGUCCGGAAUUAUUGGGCGUAAAGCGCACGUAGGCGGAUGUGCCAGUCAGGGGUGAAAUCCCGGAGCUCAACUCCGGAACUGCCUCUGAUACAGCACGUCUUGAGUUCGAGAGAGGUGGGUGGAAUUCCUAGUGUAGAGGUGAAAUUCGUAGAUAUUAGGAAGAACACCGGUGGCGAAGGCGGCCCACUGGCUCGAUACUGACGCUGAGGUGCGAAAGCGUGGGGAGCAAACAGG
rnacentral:rRNA from 1 species